GAUGAACGCUAGCGGCAGGCCUAAUACAUGCAAGUCGAACGGUAGAUCGGGUAGCAAUACUUGAUUGAGAGUGACGUAAGGGUGCGUAACACGUAUGCAAUCUACCCUCAACAGGAGUAUAGCUCGGGGAAACUCGGAUUAACACUCCAUAACAUUACGAUGUGGCAUCACAUUGUGAUUAAAACUCCGGUGGUUGAGGAUGAGCAUGCGUCUGAUUAGUUAGUUGGAGGUGUAACGGACCCCCAAGACGAUGAUCAGUAGGGGAACGUGAGAGGUUGAUCCCCCACACUGGCACUGAGAUAC
rnacentral:rRNA from 1 species